AGUCCUCAUCUUGUAUAGAAGAUGUUCUCGUGAUUUAGCUUUAUUUGUUGUCUCAAAUCGUGCUAAAUCUUUGAUUCCCGAGCGUUUUUCUUUUUCCCUAUUUUCGGAACUAUUUUUGGGGAUUUUUCGUUCAUCAUGUUUGAGCCCGAAUCUCGUGAGAUUGGUUGAAGGGAAAUGUUGCUAGGACCUUGGAGAGCAUUCGUGAUAUGAUCCCCUUUCAAAUCCCUCACGAAUCCGGCUUGAUUUUGAGUUUUUCCCAAAUCGCGUUCUUGAGUUAGGGUUUCGGUUUUCUCCAAAAUCCGUGAUGGAUACUUGAGCUUUUUCAGAUCUUUUUCAUGGAUCUAUUCGCACUUGUGGUUGCGCAUCUAUAGCUCAAGUUUUGUCUCGAUUCAUGAAAUUUUGAGGGAGUUUUUUUAGUUUGAAGAUUGAGUGGUGUUCUUGGAGUUCUUGUUUUUCCUCUGUCUGUUCGUGCGCAGGAACAGGGAAGCGAGGCAGCGAGCGAGCCAGAGCAGCACGUGCACGCGGGCCAGCUACAGCAGGCCCAGCAAGGCGGCCCAGCAGGUAGACAGGUGCAGCAGUGCACUAGGCCCAGCUUCGCCAGGUAGCAGCCCAGGACGCGAAGCAGGCCAGGUAGCAGCCCAGGACGCGAAGCAGGCCAGCUAGCAGGCCAUCUGGGCAUUCGAGCAAAGCAGACCUGCAGGCCCAUGCACGAAGGAAGGCAGGCCAACGCAUGCACCAGACCUACAGACAUGCGCCAAGCAUUAGGCACGCCAAGGAGCGAGCCUCCGGGCAUGGCGCCAGGGAAUGCAGCCAGAGGCUUCAGCUUCAUUGUAGGAGAGGGGAGGAGGUUAGGUACGUGCCAACCGCUGCUGGAUCGCCAAUAAUUCGCCAUUGCCGGUCCUACCGGCAACCACCAGGACCAAACCCAAUCCACAAUGACUGGGAUAACAUAAUGGCUGGAUAUUUCCAAUUAAAAUCUAUGCACCUCAGCAUGGCCCCACAAGGCAGGAAAAAGGUUCCUUGCUUAUCCAGCGGUACUACCUUUUUGUGUUUACAUGGUGCUAUCAGAUACUACUAUUAGUGCUAAUCCUGAUCUGAAAUGUGACUUA